UCAGCCAGCCUUGCAGAGGGAGCUCUCGGCAGCUCUGGGGUCCCUCUGCUCGCAGCCGCAGCAGCGCCGCCUGCGCCACUCGGCGGAGACGGAGACCAGCGGCGGCGGUGCGCGGACUGGGAGCGACCGCCAAGCAGCCGAGCGGCAGGGGUAUGCUCGCAAAGCGGCCGGGAAACAGGGAUAUGUCCUAUUUCAUGGAAUUGACUCCAAAGACCAAGAAAUAGAGAGCCAAACCAAAAGGAGAGGAUGCUUCAGGCUGGACAGAAACAAGCUGAGAGCAAAAGCUUUGAAAACACGAGGAAGAAGAGUGGGAGACAGGAGAAAAGGUAAGAUUAGAAGAGGGAAGGAGAGGAGAAACGGGAGGCCCCGGUGACCACUGAUACAAUAAACUGUGUCCUGGACCACCACAGCCUGGUCCCUUUUUGCAAUGCAGACUUAUGUUUUGUCUGGGGAGAGCCCCAACGAUGAUGGCUAAGGUGUGGCUGUGGCCUUGAUGGCCUUGAUUGACGGGGUGCUCCUCCAUGUGUCACACUUCCUCUUCCUCACAGAGCCUGGCACAGGCUCCACGGGACAGCUGGGCAUAGGCUUUCCCUGCCCCGGUGCCUUUGACUCCUGAUGGUGUCACCAGCCCCCCACUCCCAUCACCUGGGGCAGCAGGAAUGAGUGCCUCCCUGAACCUUGAGGAGGAGGUGGCAGAGAAGGCCGUAAGGAGAUUGAGGAUAUAGCUAGAAACGUACACGUUAGCCAUAGCGAUUCAGCUCCUUAUUCAGUGGCUGCAGUGUAGGAGGUAGGGGGAGUGCCCUGUGGGAAGCACUUGUGAGGCUGUGUGUGUGUAGGGAGGGGAGGAUACAAGAGGGAGGAUGGGUUCUCCCUGCCCUCCACUACCCACAGACACGCGCCUAGGUGUAGGAGGCCAUUGAGCCUGACCUCGAGGCAUUGAGGGAGGGGGUCUGAGUGGCUGUUCUGGGGUUGAUCCACAUAACCCUGAGCUAAGUAGGCUUGAUGAGGCAAAGGCCGGACACUCUUCUUGCCUUUGCAUUGACAGUCCUUCACCGGUAUCUGGCUUUGCUCACGGUGUCUUCUUUCUGGCUCCUGACCCUCACACCCACCCUCAGCUAGAGCUGAAUACUAGGCUCUGGUCUUAGGACUCUCCUUGUAGAGGACAGAGAGGGGCCCUGUCCUUUCUCAGCACUGGAAAGCAGGCCAUUCAGAUUUUUGGUGACAGCCCCAUUUGACCUCUGGCUGGGAUAUUUUUCCAUCCUCUACGUCUUGCCCAGGCCCUGUCCUCUCCUGUGGAUUGAGCCGUGAGCUCGUGAUGGCCCUGUCACCCCUGUCUGCACUUUCCCAGGACCUGGUCAGCCAGUGUUCACUUCCUCUUUCCCCACCACACAGGCUACGCACGCUUCGAAUCCAAGUCGACAGUCCUGCCCUACCAGUGGGCCUCUUGUGGGGCCUCAGGCCUGAGGGGCUCCUUGGGGUGGUUCUGGGACCGGAACCUUCCUGCAGGGGCCCUUGGGGCAGGCCCAAGCUCUAGCCAACUUUGGGUGCUGGUUUGGUCUCCAUGACUUGUUUGCUUUCUCCAUCCCCUGCCACUCUAGCCGACCACCCAAAAAGCUGUCCCCCAUCCCCUCCAUGCCACCCUUCGUAGUUACAGAGGGAACACAGCACUGUGCUGGUGUGCUGAGAGUGUCUGCCCGCCCCCACCCCCACCUCAGCCCCGACUCUUCUGGAAUGAGCCACCUGCUUCCACACACAGGUGUUUCCUGUGCUCCUUCCUGUUGGCCGUUUUUCUGCUCAGCGUGGCUUCCCCAGCAGGUGGUUAAAGGCCCAGCCAAACCUCCUCAUACACAGCGCUAAAACACGGGGGAGCAGGGUUCCCUGGGGAUCUGGGUCACCCCCUCCCCCAGCCUCCUGGGAGGGGGCCGUUGGCAGCUCAUUGGCUCCUCUUGAGUGCAGGCGCACACACUUUCCCCAGUGUGCCCCACUUGUGUGCUGACACCACGGGCACUGAGACACCAGAGUGGGCUCCGGAAGUAGGGAGGGCCUGUUUUCCUUGCCCCUGGGUAAUAAUGAAAGCUCAGAGGGAGAGGGGAAGGGUAGAGAGCCUGUUGUCCAGCCUUGGGCGUGGGCCCCCUCCAGCCUUCUUUGGAACAGGCCCGCCACCCUGAAAUCCCAUCCCCGCCGUCCGCCUACCCCCCACUGAAUUCUUAACCUUCUGGGGUUAACACACUCACGUGCCAGGCAACUCUGGGAAGAGGUGAGCCCUCUCCCUGGAGCCCUGCUUCCUGAAGCAGCAGUCUGCCCACUGUCAGGGGUGGGGAGCUCAGGGUUCAGUCAGGUUUGUUACUACGGAGAGGAGAGGCAGCUUGGGGAGAGAAAAAACUUGCUGUUUAGGGUCACGGGGGCAGCUAUUCAUGUUUCCUGCUUCCCAGGCCCCAGCUCUCCCCCUCUGCAAGGAUCUCCCCUUUCCUCCUAUCCAGCCCUCCAGGAGCUCCUUGCUCUCAUCUCAGCCACCUUGGUAGGAAGCUGCCGCUGCUAAGGGAAGACCCAGAAGCCUGGCCGUUCGCUGACGGGGUUCUGCUGCCCCCUUCUGGCCAGAAGCUCCAGUCUUCCCCUCGGUCGUUGCAGCCGGUUUCAUCUGCCUCCAGGCCACCUGGAGCUAGCUGCUAGGGAGCCAUUACCAGGACUGGCACCUCUGGGCUUUCUCUGGGCCAGCUCCACAGUUUGGCUGCAGCCUGGGCCCACAGCUUCCAGGCCCAGGGCACCCCCGGUCUCCAGACUGGGCCUCGUCAGCAACCACCGUCUUCCUCUGCUCUCUUUCCCAACCCCAGUUCCAGCCUCUGGGCUCUCUUCUGCCUGAAUUUCCAGGGCCAAAGCAC